UUCCGUUUCCGUUUUGAUUCCUUCCUCAGGUAUGUUUGGCUGUUUGUUGGCGGUGUAACAAUGUGCAUGUUGCGAGUCUAAUAUGCGCUAUUUAUAGUUUCAUUUAGAGCGCGUCUGGUGGCGUUGGCAGUGCGGCAACUCGCGGCGUAUUUCGGCUGCAGGGCCAGUGAGGAUCGGGUGGAACUGGGGAGGCUAGCUGCUGUCAUUUUGCAGUGUGCGGUGUGUGUGGAUACAACUUCCCAUUGGUGUGUGUGAUGGUUGCUUUGGUGUGAAUUUAGGUGGGUUUUUGGAUAACCAUUCUGAGUUGCAGCCGGCCUGCCUGGUUCCCACUAAUCCUGGCCCUGGGAAUUACCUCCCUUAUUGUGGAAAUGGUUUGUGUGAGAGCGUUUUAAAUCUAUGCGUGUGUUUUAAAAUAAAAUCCAAUCUUUUGUAUUCUCGCCCCCGUCUCCCCUACUUUGCCUUCAUUUGGUGAAACUUACCUGUGUCCUUUAAUGGGAAUAAAUUCUCUGGUUUCCCACCAGGGUGGCGUAGUCGGAUAAAUUCACUGAUUAACCUUUCCUUUCAUGUGAUACCGCCACAUUAAGUUUUAAGUAAAAAUAGGUGGAGGGGUUUAUACAGUGAACAAGUCGUAGAAGCUACUUUUUAAUAUGUUUUUGUAAAUAAUUGCGAUUUCGAACAUUUUUCAUAGUUAUUUUAACAAGUGCAUACUAAUCAGUGAAUACCUAUCAUAAGUGAAUACAGAUGGUACUUUACAAUGGCAUAUGGAUUAGUCCUUUAAGGUUUACUUCCAUCAUAUAAAAAAAAUGCUUAUGUUGCUUUAGUUGACCUCAGGAAAAAAUCUAUCAAUCAAAAUCUAUCGAACAAUCACACCAUUAGAAAUACCCCAUAUAGAAACUAAACACACUGUAAACAUACAAAACCCCUUAGUUAGAGUAUUAUGAUAUAGCUUGUGUUUAGUGUGAAACCUUUGAUGCUCUGAUUUAAAGAGACAGGAAUGGAUGCAUUAAAUUGCCUUUAUGGAUCUUGUCAAGAUUGCUUUCCACAGGUUAAUCAUUUUUAAUGCAUGGCACAUGUGUGUAAUUAAAUCCUCCACUCCUAUGCUUCCUUUGAUUUAUAAGUUGCUUUAGCCCGGUGGGUCAUUAAUGCCCUCUUCAUUAGAGCUUGUUUACUGGAUUAAACACCUUUGGAGAGCCAAGCUUAGCAAAACUUUUGCAUCAUGGAACAAGAAAUAAUCAGAUCUCAUUGGCAAGGUCGCCCCAUGGGUUUGUCGAGCUUUAUUUAAAUAGGCCCAACUGGAGUGAAAAUUGUUGUAACAUUAAAAAGUGCAUAGAAUGCACAUCAAACAUGAAGAGUGGAUCAUUUUUAAAAGAAUCCACUAAAAUGUCCAUGCACUUUUUUUCAACAUUACAAAAUUACGUUGU
ensembl:lncRNA